rnacentral:snRNA from 1 species
GUGCUCACUGCAGCAGCACAUAUACUAAAAUUGGAAUGAUACAGAGAAGAUUAGCA